rnacentral:ribozyme from 1 species
AGUCGUCAGGGCGACUAUAAACAGCCAUUAGGCCCUGUAGCGUCCCCUUUGAGGAGGGGGGUUGGA